GCCAACAUCAUUUUCUGAGAAGCUCCUUCCAAAACUAGGAGUGCGUUCAUGUAAGUUUGGAUCCUCUAGCGGAUCUGUUCUCCUAGUCAGUAAUAUUUUACCAGGAAUACUGCGACCUUUGAGCAACCCUUGGACAUUUUUGAGGGUCUGGUUGAAUCUUGAAUCGAGACUUGAACUGCUGUUAUCGCUGUUCUUCAUGGCUUUGUUCUUCCUGUUCCGUUGCUGCUAUUGUGCUAUAGAGAAGAGCAUGCAAUUUUUUUAUAUUUAUUCUGCUUGUUCUCUCUUUGCUCUCA
rnacentral:misc_RNA from 1 species